GCCCACAGUUUCACUGUCGCCAGCCUGAGAAGAGCUUUACCCUGUAUGGGUCUGGAGCUUUCUGCUCUUCCCACAGAAUGCCCUGGAAUUUCUGCUCUUCCCACAGAAUGCCCUGGAAUGCGCAGCGAUUUUCCCAUGGGAGGAAUGAAGUCUUUUGCGUUACUACACUUUGGUCUACAUGAAUCAGACGGAGUCUCACUCUGUCGCCCAAGCUGGAGUGCAGUGAUGAAAUCUUGGCUCACUUCAACCUCCGCCUCCCGGGUUCAAGUGAUUCUCCUGCCUCAGCCUCCCGAGUAGCUGUGAAUACAGUUUUCAGAUAAAGCAGAUGCAUAAAUCUCGGAUCACUGCCACAGGAUGUUCCGCAUCUCCAUCCAUACUGCGGAGACACCGCUAUGGGAAAGCACGAGCAACUUUCAAAGGCUGCUGACCCUACUGAUUAAUUACAGUCAGCCCCCACAGCCCAUAUUAAUAACAGGGAAACAGUCAGUUUCUGCUGACUUUUGCUCUCGACAGGUUGAAUGUUGAGUUCAUGUGGACACCAUGGAAUCAUGAUAUCCUAGAGAUUCAGCUACUUGGGGACAUGUUUUAAGCUAGCACUUUUCCUAAAGCCUAUCAGGAAGGCAGGAACUGCUUGUGAGCUAGCAGAGAAAGGUCUGCUCAGCCUCAAUCAUUCAUUUCACAAAUGCUGAGACUCGAGGCUGCUGUGUGUCAUGCUAGCUCCAAGGAUGCAAAGAGAGGACAGGCCCUAUGUGGUAGAAAGGAUGGGGCCAUGACCACGGUGCCACAGCCUGCAGGCCCCCAAGGACAGCCCUGUGCUGCAUUUGUGACUGUGUCUCUUGCACCUAACAGGAGGCCCAACAUUUAGCAGGUGCUCAAUAAAAACAGUGAAAAAUGAAAAAUACAAUGUUAUGCCUUUGAUAACAGUGAUCUGGGAGUUUAGGGAGAAAGCAGGUAAUUCUGCUUGGGAAUUAAAGGCUUUGAAGAAGGAGUGACAGGUCCCGGUUGGUCCUUGAAAUGUAGGAGGCAAUGGGCAGAGAAGGAAGGGCAGUCCAGGAGGGUGGCAAGCAGGAGGGUGUGAUGUGGCACGAGGUCAGACCCAAAGGAGGCAGGAUGAGGACUCUUGAAUUGCAGGUGGUCCAGUCCCUACAGACUCAAUGCUCUGUUCACAGAUUGUACAUACUGUCCACGUGAUAAAUUCCUCUUAGAAUCA
ensembl:lncRNA